AGAGUUUGAUCAUGGCUCAGGAUGAACGCUAGCGACAGGCCUAACACAUGCAAGUCGAGGGGCAUCGGGACGUAGCAAUAUGUUGCCGGCGACCGGCGGAUGGGUGAGUAACGCGUAUGCAACCUACCCGUAGCAGGGGGAUAGCCCGUUGAAAGACGGAUUAAUACCCCGUAACACAGGGGCUCCGCAUGGAGAUUAUUGUUAAAGGGUCAUUUCUUUUUCAGGGAUGGUCCGGCUGCGGAUGGGCAUGCGUUCCAUUAGGUAGUUGGUGUAGGUAACUGCUCACCAAGCCGACGAUGGAUAGGGGAACUGAGAGGUUGGUCCCCCACACUGGUACUGAGACACGGACCAGACUCCUACGGGAGGCAGCAGUGAGGAAUUUUGGUCAAUGGACGCAAGUCUGAACCAGCCAUGUCGCGUGAAGGAGGACGGCCCUAAGGGUUGUAAACUUCUUUUGCAGUGGAAUAAAGUUUGCCACGUGUUGGCGAUUUGCAAGUACGCUGCGAAUAAGGAUCGGCUAACUCCGUGCCAGCAGCCGCGGUAAUACGGAGGAUCCAGGCGUUAUCCGGAUUUAUUGGGUUUAAAGGGUGCGCAGGCGGGGAAUUAGGUCGGCGGUGAAAUUUCGGGGCUCAACCUCGACAGUGCCGUUGAAACCGUUUCUCUUGAGUGCGGAUGAGGUAGGCGGAAUUUGUGGUGUAGCGGUGAAAUGCGUAGAUAUCACAAGGAACACCGAUUGCGGAGGCAGCUUACUAAACCGUUACUGACGCUCAUGCACGAAGGCGUGGGGAUCAAACAGGAUUAGAUACCCUGGUAGUCCACGCAGUAAACGAUGAUUACUUGCUGUUUGCGAUACACAGUAAGCGGCGAAGCGAAAGCGUUAAGUAAUCCACCUGGGGAGUACGUUCGCAAGAAUGAAACUCAAAGGAAUUGACGGGGCCCGCACAAGCGGAGGAACAUGUGGUUUAAUUCGAUGAUACGCGAGGAACCUUACCC
rnacentral:rRNA from 1 species